GACGAGCCACACAAACGUUAUUCGGAAUUACUGGGCUUAAAGGGUGCGUAGGCUGCGCGGAAAGUUGGGUGUGAAAUCCCUCGGCUCAACCGAGGAACUGCGCCCAAAACUGCCGUGCUCGAGGAAGAUAGAGGUAAGCGGAACUUACGGUGGAGCGGUGAAAUGCGUUGAUAUCGUAAGGAACACCUGUGGCGAAAGCGGCUUACUGGGUCUUUUCUGACGCUGAUGCACGAAAGCUAGGGGAGCAAACGGG
rnacentral:rRNA from 1 species